UGGGGAAUUUUGCACAAUGGGGGAAACCCUGAUGCAGCGACGCCGCGUGAUUUAGAAGGCCUUCGGGUUGUAAAAAUCUUUUCUAUGGGAAGAAAAUGACAGUACCAUAGGAAUAAGGACCGGCUAAUUACGUGCCAGCAGCCGCGGUAAUACGUAAGGUCCGAGCGUUGUCCGGAUUUAUUGGGCGUAAAGCGAGCGCAGGCGGUCAAUUAAGUCUGAUGUGAAAGCCCCCGGCUCAACCGGGGAGGGUCAUUGGAAACUGGUUGACUUGAGUGCAGAAGAGGAGAGUGGAAUUCCAUGUGUAGCGGUGAAAUGCGUAGAUAUAUGGAGGAACACCAGUGGCGAAGGCGACUCUCUGGUCUGUAACUGACGCUGAGGCUCGAAAGCGUGGGUAGCAAACAGG
rnacentral:rRNA from 1 species